rnacentral:Y_RNA from 1 species
GGCUAGUCCAAGUGGUUGUAUUUACAACUAAAUGAUCACAACCAGUUACAGAUUGCUCUGUUGCCUCUCUACUCUCACUGCUUUACUUGGCUAGCCUAAA